UCCUACGGGAGGCAGCAGUGGGGAAUUUUCCGCAAUGGGCGAAAGCCUGACGGAGCAAGACCGCGUGAGGGAGGAAGGCUCUUGGGUCGUAAACCUCUUUUGUCAGGGAAGAACACAAUGACGGUACCUGAGGAAUCAGCAUCGGCUAACUCCGUGCCAGCAGCCGCGGUAAUACGGAGGAGGCAAGCGUUAUCCGGAAUUAUUGGGCGUAAAGCGUCCGCAGGUGGCUAUUCAAGUCUGCGGUCAAAGACCGGGGCUUAACCCUGGAAAGGCCGUGGAAACUGACGAGCUAGAGUAGCAGUAGGGGUAGAGGGAAUUCCCGGUGUAGCGGUGAAAUGCGUAGAGAUCGGGAAGAACAUCGGUGGCGAAAGCGCUCUACUGGACUGCAACUGACACUCAGGGACGAAAGCUAGGGGAGCGAAUGGGAUUAGAUACCCCAGUAGUCCUAGCCGUAAACGAUGGAUACUAGGUGUGGCUUGUAUCGACCCGAGCCGUGCCGUAGCUAACGCGUUAAGUAUCCCGCCUGGGGAGUACGC
rnacentral:rRNA from 1 species